AUACGGGAGGCAGCAGUGAGGAAUUUUCCGCAAUGGACGCAAGUCUGAGCGAGCAACGCCGCGUGCAGGAGGAAGCUCUUCGGAGUGUAAACUGCUUUUAUCGGGGAAGAGCAAGGACGGUACCUGGUGAAGAAGCCCCGGCUAACUACGUGCCAGCAGCCGCGGUAAUACGUAGGGGGCGAGCGUUGUCCGGAGUUACUGGGCGUAAAGGGCAUGCAGGCGGUCUGCUAAGUUCGGAGUGACAGUCACCAGCUUAACUGGUGAAGGACUUUGAAAACUGGCGGACUUGAGAGCGAGAGAGGGACACGGAAUUCCGGGUGGAGCAGUGAAAUGCGUAGAGAUCCGGAAGAACACCGAAGGCGAAGGCGGUGUCCUGGUUCGUUUCUGACGCUGAGGGGCGAAAGCCAGGGGAGCGAACGGGAUUAGAUACCCCCGUAC
rnacentral:rRNA from 1 species